rnacentral:rRNA from 1 species
CAAAAAAAAAACACGUAGAUAACCUACCUAUAAGACUGUGAUAACUUCGGGAAACCGGCGCUAAUACCGGAUAAUAUAUUGAACCGCAUGGUUCAAUAGUGAAAGACGGUUUUGCUGUCACUUAUAGAUGGAUCCGCGCCGCAUUAGCUAGUUGGUAAGGUAACGGCUUACCAAGGCAACGAUGCGUAGCCGACCUGAGAGGGUGAUCGGCAACACGGGAACUGAGACACGGUCCAGGCUACUACGGGAGGCAGCAGUAGGGAAUCUUCCGCAAUGGGCGAAAGCCUUACGGAGCAACGCCGCGUGAGUUAUGAAGGUUUUUUUUUUUU